rnacentral:rRNA from 1 species
GAUGAACGCCGGCGGCGUGCCUAAUACAUGCAAGUCGAGCGAACGGACGAGAAGCUUGCUUCUCUGAUGUUAGCGGCGGACGGGUGAGUAACACGUGGAUAACCUACCUAUAAGACUGGGAUAACUUCGGGAAACCGGAGCUAAUACCGGAUAAUAUUUUGAACCGCACGGUUCAAAAGUAAAAGACGGUCUUGCUGUCACUUAUAGAUGGAUCCGCGCUGCAUUAGCUAGUUGGUAAGGUAACGGCUUACCAAGGCAACGAUGCAUAGCCGACCUGAGAGGGUGAUCGGCCACACUGGAACUGAGACACGGUCCAGACUCCUACGGGAGGCAGCAGUAGGGAAUCUUCCGCAAUGGGCGAAAGCCUGACGGAGCAACGCCGCGUGAGUGAUGAAGGUCUUCGGAUCGUAAAACUCUGUUAUUAGGGAAGAACAUAUGUGUAAGUAACUGUGCACAUCUUGACGGUACCUAAUCAGAAAGCCACGGCUAACUACGUG